GGUUUUGAUUCUGGCUCAGAUUGAACGCUGGCGGGAUGCUUUACAUGCAAGUCGAACGCGCACGGACUUCGGUCUGGUGGCGAGUGGCGAGCAGGUGGUAAUGUAUCGGAACGUGCAAUCGGCAGGAUAACUACACGGCAUAUUAUUCACGCCGCCCUUCGAGAAGCGAGACCUUCGGGCCUCGCACUAUUGAAGCGGCCGAUAUCGGUUAAGCUGGUUGGUGGGGUAACGGCUCACGGAAAACAAUCGGCAAACUGAUUGAGACGUCAUGCCUGCGGACCUGAACGGCUGAAAUACCAGGAGGGCGGCAGUGAAAUUUUGGACAAUGGGGAAACCCACAGUCGUCCAUCCGCGUGUGCGAUGAAGGCCUUCGGGUUGUAAGCACUUUUGGCAGGAAAAGAAACGGCACGGGAUAAUACGUGCAGCUGACAAUACCUGCAGAAUAAGCACCGGCUAACUACGUGCCAGCAGCCGCGGUAAUGCGUAGGGUGCAAGCGUUAAUCGGAAUUACUGGGCGUAAAGCGUGCGCAGGCGGUUCGGAAAGAAAGAUGAUCAGGCUGCUGGUGCAUUUUUAACACCGAGCUAGAGUGUGUCAGAGGGAGGUGAAUUCGAUGGCAGUGAAAUGCGUAGAUAUGCGGGCUUGCAAAUGGCGAAGGCGGCCUCCUGGGAUGCUGCGGCUGGCGCUCAUGCUGCAAGCGUGGGGGCAAACAGGAUUAGAUACCUCUGGUAGUCCACGCCACAAACGAUGUCAACUAGCUGUUGGACAACUUCGGGCCUUGGUAGCGCAAUAACGCGUGAAGUUGACCGCCUGAAGUAUACGAUCGCAGAUUAAAACUCAAAGGAACCAGCGGGACCGCACAAGCAGUGGAUGAUGUGGAUUAAUUCGAUGCAACGCAGAAAACCUUACCUACCCUUGACAUGUCUGGAAUCCCGAAGAGAUUUGGGAGUGCUCGCAAGAGAACCGGAACACAGGUGCUGCAUGGCUGUCGUCAGCUCGUGUCGUGAGAUGUUGGGUUAAGUCCCGCAACGAGCGCAACCCUUGUCAUUAGUUGCUACGAAAGGGCGCUCUAAUGGACUGAUAAGCAAACCGGAGGAAGGUGGGGAUGACGUCAAGUCCUCAUGGCCCUUAUGGGUAGGGCUUCACACGUCAUACAAUGGUCAGGACAGAGGGUCGCCAACCCCGCGAAGAGGGCCAAUCUGAAGGCCGAUCAUGGUCGGAUCGCAGUCUGCAACUCGACUGCGUGAAGUCGGAAUCGCUAGUAAUCGCGGAUCAGCAUGUCGCGGUGAAUACGUUCGGGGUCUUGUACACACCGCCCGUCACACCAUGGGAGUGGGUUUUACCAGAAGUAGUUAGCCUAACCGUAGGAGGGCGACGAUUACCACAGCGGAUUCAUGACUGGGGUGAAGUCAUGCUAAGAUA
rnacentral:rRNA from 1 species